CAGCGUUUGACAUGUCCGGACGAUUUCCAGAGAUGGAUCUCUUCCCUUCGGGGACUGGAACACAGGUGCUGCAUGGCUGUCGUCAGCUCGUGUCGUGAGAUGUUGGGUUAAGUCCCGCAACGAGCGCAACCCUCGCCUUUAGUUACCAUCAUUUAGUUGGGUACUCUAAAGGAACCGCCGGUGAUAAGCCGGAGGAAGGUGGGGAUGACGUCAAGUCCUCAUGGCCCUUACGCGCUGGGCUACACACGUGCUACAAUGGCGACUACAGUGGGCUGCAAACUCGCGAGGGUGAGCUAAUCUCCAAAAGUCGUCUCAGUUCGGAUUGUACUCUGCAACUCGAGUACA
rnacentral:rRNA from 1 species